rnacentral:tRNA from 1 species
CAUUCAGGAGAUGUAUUUAUAGAUUUACAGGCCUU